rnacentral:lncRNA from 1 species
UUCCUUAUAAUUAUGCAUCUCAAAUAAUACCAGGGAAAAACAAACUUCCUAUUUGUUUUCUAGCUCUUUUCUUGUUGAAAUGACUUACUUUCUCUUUAUAGUGGAUUUUUCAGGUAAAUGCUCAAUCUUUGCUUAUCCCUCCUUCUUUUCCAUAUAGUACCUGGGAACAUGAGGCGCUUAUGAAGUCCUUGCAGCAGAGUUGAAAGAGCCUCAGAUCUGAUUGAAGGUCAUUGGAAAACAUUCCGGGUCUUCUCUCUCUGGUCUUGAAGAUGGAGUAAGGCUCUGUCAUCCAGGCCUGUGUGCAGUGGCGCGAUCUCGGCUCCCUGCAACUUCCACCUCCUGGGUUCAAGUGAUUCUCCUGCCUCAGCCUCCUGAGUAGCUGGGAUUACAGGUUCCCAAAUGAAUUAUCUAAUCAUGGCAUCAAGCUGAAAGACUUGACUAUCAUAUCAGGUUGAAAUGAGUCUCCUUGGAAGCUACUUUCUUGAUCAGGAGAACAUUUAAACUUAAAAAGGUAAGUUAUCUGUUUUCCACAUAACUAAUGUGCAGUGGUUUUAUGGUAUAGAACCAUCCAUAAAGAGGAAGAUUUGGAAGCAUAGAGCACUAGGCUGUAGUGACUCUGAAAUCAGCUGAAUGGAAGCUGCCACAUCCCGCUACUUUGGGGUUGGACAAUUGUCUUUGAUUUCAGCCACAGUUCUGCUUCUGUGACUCCAGGUUCAUUGUUCUCCGUGGUUCUUGGGUUGGCUCGCUGAUACUCAUUUCUGUUCUAUCACACUUCUUGUCCUUUUUGAAGAAAUUCCUGAAAGGAUUACAUUUUCCUUUUGGCUGGCAGUUUGAAUAGGACACAGAAUUCUUUAAUCUAAUAUGAGAUUGAGUUGAUCUGAAGUUGAUAUCUUUGAAGGACCAAAGACCAGUCUUUGGGAGGGCUGAUCUACCUCUGUUUCACCAUUACUAAUAAACUACAGCUCUUCCGUGAUCCUAUCU